UACGUAGGUGGCGAGCGUUGUCCGGAUUUACUGGGCGUAAAGAGCGCGCAGGCGGUCGUUCAAGUCGCGUGUGAAAGCCCCCGGCUCAACUGGGGAGGGUCACGCGAUACUGAUCGACUCGAAGGCAGGAGAGGGAAGUGGAAUUCCCGGUGUAGUGGUGAAAUGCGUAGAUAUCGGGAGGAACACCAGUGGCGAAGGCGACUUCCUGGCCUGUUCUUGACGCUGAGGCGCGAAAGCUAGGGGAGCAAACCGG
rnacentral:rRNA from 1 species